UACGGAGGAUCCGAGCGUUAUCCGGAUUUAUUGGGUUUAAAGGGUGCGCAGGCGGGAUGUUAAGUCGGCGGUGAAAUUUUGCAGCUCAACUGUAAAAGUGCCUUCGAUACUGGCUUCCUUGAGUGGGGAUGAAGUAGGCGGAAUUUGUGGUGUAGCGGUGAAAUGCUUAGAUAUCACGAGGAACUCCGAUUGCGCAGGCAGCUUACUAAACCACUACUGACGCUCAUGCACGAAGGCGUGGGGAUCAAACAGGAUUAGAUACCCU
rnacentral:rRNA from 1 species